AUGCCACAUGUAUUUUUUUGUCCAAGUGGAUGAAUGAAAUUAACAUUGGUGAUGGAUGGGUAACCUUCUACAAAAGUGAGUAAAUAGUCAGUUACAUUUUAUUCUUGAGUGAGCAAAUAGUAACCUGAUCUAAAUGUUGGUGAGCAAUGGUUUAAUUAACUCUAUAUAUUUCCAUAGUUUAGUUCUAGGAGGGAUGUUGGUUAUUUUGUUCCCUCAACCAGCAACAAUUGCUAGUGCUAUUAUUCGAAAUCCGUUUUUCUUUGUUAUUUGUGAUUUUUAAAAUCUUUGUACUGUAAAAACGUAAAGGCUUGCUUGCUUCUUCUUAUUUGCUUGCUUGAGGAGUUUUGGAUAUGUCGCGAAGCGGCAUCAGGAGGGCACUUCCAUGGAUGACAUCGGUCCUCGAAAAAUCCCUUCUUUUAAAAGUGUGGUACUGGAGGUAAUGAACUCACAGAGAUUGCAACAUCUUAUGGAACCAGUUCUGGAGCCCUUGAUUCGCAGAGUUGUGAAAGAGGAAGUUGACUCAGCAUUAAAGAAGUACCUGAUCAGCAUGAACCGGUUGAUGAAAUUGAAAGAAAUAAGCAAAAGUUGGUGAAAUUGUAGAAAAUUGCCAAAUUGUAAGAGAUCCAAAGUUCGGGGACUGAAACGCAAAUAUUGAAAAGUUGUGUUGAACCUCGCAAUGAAGAUCCGAGCGUCAAAAUAUGAUCAUAAAUCAAUUUCCAACCGAAAAGUUGUGCUCCGGAAUUUCAACCUUACAUUGAGACUCAUUUUUGACAUAGCAAAUGAUCGAAGCGGAGAAUAAUAUCUGAAGAAAAUUUGUACCCCUUUGAGUUAGCUUUUUAACGAGUUUUGAAUCACCUCAAUUGGACAUCGGACGAGAAAGUUAUGCGAAAAAUACUGAAAGAUGCGCAGAAGGAAUUUUCCACCCGAAUCGGGCGCCGCAGCACCCAUGAAUCUGAAUUUGACAGUAAGGGUAGCGCUACAGUAAGGGUAGCGGGGAAACGUAUUUUGAUAUUUUUGGACUCCUUUCUCGGCCCAUUCCAAUCCAAAAUCGUCCAACACUUGAGGAGACUAUAAAUACUACCUAAAAGACCUAAUUAAGAAGGGGGAGAACGAGCAAGGAAAACUGGAAGCAACGGCAAGAACACGUGACUGGAAAGAGGAGUUUAGCCGGCCAAUUACAAGAAUCUUUAAGGGGACAAUCUGGAGACAAAUCCAAGGGGAUUCCAGCUAGCCAAUUGCAAAAAUCUGGAGACAAACCCACGGCUGUUCAAUACAAUUAAAGAAUAGAAAUUUAAUUGAGAGAAUUUGACAACAAUGGAAGAAGAAAUCGAGCAGUAAAAACGAGUUUUUCUAUUCCUUUUCUUCUCUAUGUUCUUUCUUAUUAAUUUAUUCAUGUCAAUUCCUUUAAUUAUGCACUAAAUUUUAAUCCUAGGGUAUGAUGUAGCCUACUUUAGACAUGUUUGGAUUCCGUUUUAAUUAUUUCAAUUGACCUUUCCAUUUAUUUAUUUAUGUUGUUUGUGA